AUUGAACGCUGGCGGCAGGCUUAACACAUGCAAGUCGAACGAGUGGCGGACGGGUGAGUAAUGUCUGGGCAACUUCCCGAUGGGGGGGGAUAACUACUGGAAACGGUAGCUAAUACCGCAUACCAUCGGAUGUGCCCAGCUGGGAUUAGCUAGUAGGGGGGGUAAUGGCUCACCUAGGCGACGAUCCCGAGCUGGUCUGAGAGGAUGACCGGCCACACGGGAAAUGGGAAACGGCCCAGACGCCUAGGGGAGGCAGCAGUGGGGAAUAUUGCACAAUGGGCGAAAGCCUGAUGCAGCAAUGCCGCGUGUAUGAAGAAGGCCUUCGGGUUGUAAAGUACUUUCAGCGGGGAGGCGUUACUCGCAGAAGAAGCACCGGCUAACUCCGUGCCAGCAGCCGCGGUAAUAC
rnacentral:rRNA from 1 species